rnacentral:rRNA from 1 species
AGGACGAACGCUGGCGGCGUGCUUAACACAUGCAAGUCGAGCGGAAAGGCCCUUUGGGGUACUCGAGCGGCGAACGGUGAGUAACACGUGAGUAAUCUGCCCUUCACUCUGGGAUAGCCCUCCGAAAGGGGGAUUAAUACCGGAUACGACGCGCUCCUGCAUGGGGGUGUGUGGAAACUUUUUGGGUGGGGGAUGUGCUCGCGGCCUAUCAGCUUGUUGGUGGGUAAUGGCCUACCAAGGCUUCGACGGGGUAGCCGGCCUGAGAGGGU